CUAGCAUACGAGGAGGCAAUGGUGGGAUACUACCCUGGCUGUAUGACCAUUCUAACCCGCCACGCUUAGCGCGUGGGGAGACAGUGUCAGGUGGGCAGUUUGACUGGGGCGGUCGCCUCCUAAAGAGUAACGGAGGCGCCCAAAGGUUCCCUCAGAAUGGAUGGAAAUCAUUCGCAGAGUGUAAAGGCACAAGGGAGCUUGACUGCGAGACUGACAAGUCGAGCAGGGACGAAAGUCGGGCUUAGUGAUCCGGUGGUUCCGCAUGGAAGGGCCA
rnacentral:rRNA from 1 species